rnacentral:lncRNA from 1 species
AUUUUUUUUAAAAGCUGUAUUCAUUUUGAAUAGGAAAAAAAAUGAAGCUAGUAAACAUUUUUAUUUUCCCUGAAUUUGACCUCCUACAAAAAGCAGAUGUUCUACCAUGGAUUAAAAAGGGAUAAAAAGAGCAAAGAAUAACACCAUGAAUUACUGGCAAUGACAAAGCUGCACGAGGAAACUGACCAGGCACCAGGGAAUUUGAAACAUAAAAGACUAAGCAAUAAUUUAAGCUGAUUCCAUGAAGUUCUUGGACUCAGAUCAGAACUUACACCAUGAGCUGCCACCAUCCCAUACCUGCACCCCCACACACCCAUUCUCAGGCCUUUAGACUUGGAGCGAAUUACACCACCAACUUUCCUGGUUCUCCAGUUUGCAGAUAGCAGAUCGUGGGACAUCUUGAUCUCCAUAAUCAUGGGAACAAAACAUACAGAAGAAAGCACACCAAAUGUUUACAUAAAAUUGUAGCGCACACUGGGUCUCCUGAAGGACAUCACUGAGUCUUUCUGCGUCCAGACUCCUUACCCUAAGGGUGGGGAUUUCAGAGAUGGAAUAUGAGGAAGAUAAGGCAACAGCAAUAGAUUGGAGAAGUUUCUUUAAAACGAAGGAUUUACAGUCUGUGUUCUUCAAACAACUGCCUCGAGACAGAGCACAGGCAGCGCCUAAUCGGUCAGCCAGCCACCAGUUAAUAAAGCUUCCUCUUUCUGUUCGUUUGCUGCCCAGAACAAUCUGAGAAGCUGAGGAAGCUUGAGAAAAUUCUUAAAGAUAAUCAAAGAGUAAUUACAAUCAUCUUUGUUUCACCGAAAGUUUAAUUAAGAACAGCUAUAGAGAAAACAUAUGUUUCUUAUCCUUCAGUUGUUUUGUAAUCAGCAACAAAAAUGAGAAAGUAGCAACUCAGAAAAUAAAGGAAGCAGGAACAUUUGAAAGAAAGCAAUCUGAGGUGCAGAGGAAAAUCUUUGGUGCAUAAGCUGGAACACAAAAGCAAAAAUGAUGAAAAUUGAACAAUGUUAACAUUUUUAGGGGCCUU